UGCUACCUUUUAAAACGCGGCUGAAUUGGUUCGGAAUCCUUGCGGAGCAGCUAAGAGGAUCCAGCCGGACGCGGUUCAUGAAGAGAAAAAAGAAGUGGUUGAUUAAUUUGAACUGUCAAUCCCAAGAUAACUCAAUACCCACAUCUGACUCUUUCAAUCAAUGGUUUCAAUAUCUCUAGCAUCAUUUUGGGUUGGUAUUUUCUUGUGUUCAAGUACCAGAUGUGGAGGAUUCAUUGCAGGUACCAGGACUCUCACUUGCCUGAAGGUGGACAAGCAAGGACUGAGAGACAGCAGAUCACUCUUGUGCCCCACAGUAAAGCACCAAGACCUCGUGCAAGAGGAGUGCUGUCUGCACAGCAUACAGUUCUGGUAUUCCCCUUUCUAGAGCAAGUCCUUGAAAUCUUGAUCUCAACACAGAAGCUGAAACUGAAAGGUCAAGAUUACCAAAUCUGGGGUCAAAAUAUCUUUAUACUGAGCUGUAAGACCCUUCUCACUACUGUAAGAGGUGCAGAUCUCAGCCCAAGAGAGCCAUUUCUUAACACUCUGAAAAGAAGUCAGCCUUGGCAGUCAAUGAAGCAAAGCUAAGGACACAGGUGGAAUCUGAAAUAAAGACUCACAUGUUUGGCACCUAAGGCCACUCAGAUUCCUUCAACCAUUUGUAAGAAAUGGAAAAGUGAAGCCCAUACAGCCCUCACUAGCAAGACAGACCUAUCCCUGAAGAGAUAACUGCACCUAUCCUCCUGAAAAUAGCAAAAUGGGUUAGGCAGUUGGACAUAGAGGACACUUUUAGACAACAGGCUUGAGCAAUGGAAACUCGAUCAAGGCAAAAGGGCCCACAGCUACCACCUGGCUGAAUACAGACACACCCAUGAAGGCAGCCCACCUCAAAUAUCAAUAACCCUAAGUAACAAAUGAGCUAAUUAAAGCCAGAUAAAGUUACCAAAACAAGGGAAAUUUCACACAUCACCAUACCGCCUCAUGGCCCCCCUUUAAAUACACCCUCCACCCACUGCCUUGUGGCAGUUACUUCUUUGCUAUCCUGCCUGCUACUUCGUUGUGGUGUAUUCAAUCAACUUCUAUCUCCUUUGUUCUGCCUUGGGUGAGUCCUUUCACCACCCAUGCUACUGGCUUCCACCCCAUCAUCACCCCACUUUUGGGGGCUCCCAUCCAAUCCAGAAAGGCACCACAUUGAAGAAUAAGCUUAUAGCAUGACAAGCAGUUUGACAUAAAAAGAUUAUAUCUAGGACUUCUUAUUUCUAGUAAUAAGCAAUUUGACCCUCAAAUUACAUUUAAAAAGUAAACAAACCAAGAAAACUUUAAAUUUUUGACAGAGAGAGAGAUAACAC